rnacentral:rRNA from 1 species
GACGAACGCUGGCGGCGUGCUUAACACAUGCAAGUCGAGCGGUAAGGCCCUUCCGGGGUACGACGAGCGGCGAACGGGUGAGUAACACGUGGGUGACCUGCCCUCCAGCUCUGGGAUAAGCCUGGGAAACGUGGGUCGUAAUACCGGAUAUGACUCCAUGACGCAUGCUGUGGGGUGGAAAGCCUUGUGCGGCUGAGGAUGGGCCCGCGGCCUAUCAGCUUGUUGGUGGGGUGAUGGCCUACCAAGGCGACGACGGGUAGCCGGCCUGAGAGGCGACCGGCCACACUGGGACUGAGACACGGCCCAGACUCCUACGGGAGGCAGCAGUGGGGAAUCUUGCGCAAUGGGCGAAAGCCUGACGCAGCGACGCCGCGUGAGGGAUGACGGCCU